rnacentral:rRNA from 1 species
AGAGUUUGAUCCUGGCUCAGAAUGAACGCUGGCGGCAGGCCUAACACAUGCAAGUCGAACGGAGUUAUGUUGUAGCUUGCUAUGGUAUAACUUAGUGGCAGACGGGUGAGUAAUGUAUAGGAAUCUACCUAGUAGUACGGAAUAAUUGUUGGAAACGGCAACUAAUACCGUAUACGCCCUACGGGGGAAAAAUUUAUUGCUAUUAGAUGAGCCUAUAUUAGAUUAGCUAGUUGGUGGAGUAAUAGCCUACCAAGGCAAUGAUCUAUAGCUGAUCUGAGAGGAUGAUCAGCCACACUGGAACUGAGAUACGGUCCAGACUCCUACGGGAGGCAGCAGUGGGGAAUAUUGGACAAUGGGCGAAAGCCUGAUCCAGCCAUGCCGCAUGAGUGAAGAAGGCCUUUGGGUUGUAAAGCUCUUUUAGUGAGGAAGAUAAUGACGGUACUCACAGAAGAAGUCCUGGCUAACUCCGUGCCAGCAGCCGCGGUAAUACGGAGAGGGCUAGCGUUAUUCGGAAUUAUUGGGCGUAAAGGGCGCGUAGGCUGGUUAAUAAGUUAAAAGUGAAAUCCCGAGGCUUAACCUUGGAAUUGCUUUUAAAACUAUUAAUCUAGAGAUUGAAAGAGGAUAGAGGAAUUCCUGAUGUAGAGGUAAAAUUCGUAAAUAUUAGGAGGAACACCAGUGGCGAAGGCGUCUAUCUGGUUCAAAUCUGACGCUGAAGCGCGAAGGCGUGGGGAGCAAACAGGAUUAGAUACCCUGGUAGUCCACGCUGUAAACGAUGAAUGUUAAAUAUGGGAAGUUUACUUUCUGUAUUACAGCUAACGCGUUAAACAUUCCGCCUGGGGACUACGGUCGCAAGAUUAAAACUCAAAGGAAUUGACGGGGACCCGCACAAGCGGUGGAGCAUGUGGUUUAAUUCGAUGCAACGCGAAAAACCUUACCA